UACGUAGGGUGCAAGCGUUAAUCGGAAUUACUGGGCGUAAAGCGUGCGCAGGCGGUUUUGUAAGACAGUUGUGAAAUCCCCGGGCUCAACCUGGGAACUGCGUCUGUGACUGCAUAGCUAGAGUACGGUAGAGGGGGAUGGAAUUCCGCGUGUAGCAGUGAAAUGCGUAGAUAUGCGGAGGAACACCGAUGGCGAAGGCAAUCCCCUGGACCUGUACUGACGCUCAUGCACGAAAGCGUGGGGAGCAAACAGG
rnacentral:rRNA from 1 species